rnacentral:rRNA from 1 species
GAUGAACGCUGGCGGCGUGCCUAAUACAUGCAAGUCGAGCGAACGGACGAGAAGCUUGCUUCUCUGAUGUUAGCGGCGGACGGGUGAGUAACACGUGGAUAACCUACCUAUAAGACUGGGAUAACUUCGGGAAACCGGAGCUAAUACCGGAUAAUAUUUUGAACCGUAUGGUUCAAAAGUGAAAGACGGUCUUGCUGUCACUUAUAGAUGGAUCCGUGCUGCAUUAGCUAGUUGGUAAGGUAACGGCUUACCAAGGCAACGAUGCAUAGCCGACCUGAGAGAGUGAUCGGCCACACUGGAACUGAGACACGGUCCAGACUCCUACGGGAGGCAGCAGUAGGGAAUCUUACGCAAUGGGCGAAAGCCUGACGGAGCAACGCCGCGUGAGUGAUGAAGGUCUUCGGAUCGUAAAACUCUGUUAUUAGGGAAGAACAUAUGUGUAAGUAACUGUGCACAUCUUGACGGUACCUAAUCAGAAAGCCACGGCUAACUACGUG